rnacentral:lncRNA from 11 species
CAAAUCAGUUUUUUCUUAUAUCUCCCUGUUACACAAGUUGCUUGUAGACCUCAGUCCUGGCAUGAUACGUUGCAACAAGAGGAAGGUGGUGUUGACCCAUAGAACAGAGCGGCUCUCCACUGAAGACGGCGGCAGGAAAAUGUAUGCCUAUUUCAGCUCCAGGGAAGGUCUCUGUGGCUUCCAGGAUCACUUUGAUUGGUGGGCCAAGAAUCAAUUCUCUAGCCAGGGUGGAAAGCCCCUUUUGAUCGAUCCUCAUGAUGCAAAUGUCCAUCACAUCUUUAUUGACGACAACAUUCGACUGGAUGAUUCUGACACCAUUGUUCAUCAGCAGGUGUUUUCCAGGAAAGAAAGCUGCAAUCUGCAGACUGUCCCCACUUCGGAGCUCUAUAAUGUUUGUCUGGUUCAAACAGAUCUCCUGGAGGCCAUUGCCAACAAGAACUAUUUCUGCCGCUGCAUCAGACGGUGUGAAGAGAACUAUGAGAACUACGUAGCCAGGGCUGAGGGUUGCAUCUAGGCUCUUUUCAAAGGAAUCUUCAUAACCCUCUGAUUUUCUCAUGCUUCGUAAGGGGUUUGUACAACAGGAGGAGAGUUGGCUCUUUUGUGCUUUGUAGGUGAUGGGAUUCCCCACUGGACUAUCCUCUGUUGUCUUUGCUUUAAACUCUCAAUUAGCACCCUGUCCAGAAGAUUCCGGGUACUUCUUUUAAACCACAGUUGGUCCCAGACGGUGCAGUGCACCAUAUGCUCUGGUGCUGUGUUAACUAGUUCUUUUUGUUGUUGUUGUAUGCCUUCAGGUCAUUUCUGACUUAUGUCAUGGCAUUUUCUUGGCAAGAUUUGGUCAGACAGGAUUUUUCAUGACCUUCCUCUGAAGGUGCGAGAGUCUGACUUGCCCAAAGUGAGUUUUCACAAGAAUUUAAUCCUUUGUCUCCACAAUCUAGUGUCCAAACCACUGUACUGUAUUGCAUUAGCCCUCUUCUUUUACUGAAUAUUUAUUCAGAGCUGGAGAGCAGCCCACAAAGACACCCUUGUAGUAGAAAUUGCCAAUCUUUGCUUUGAAGAGCUCGGAGCUAGCUACCCCACAGGGUUCACAGAAAGCUAUUGCUGUAUUAGACAGCCCAUCGUUCUUAGCUUUGAAAUGGGCUUGAACUGCUAGGGUUUGUUUUCUGGUCAUGAUAACCGCCAUUGGCCCCAAAAAUACUGCUGAAGGAUGCCCAUUUGCUGGGGAAACAUUGUCAGAGACACUUCAGAAAUCAUGGCCCGUCUUUGGUGCACUUAAGCAGGGCUGAAUAAUGGUCAAAGUCUCAUGAACUGAUCCAUUGUAGGGAACUGUCCUUCUUUUCUAGCUUUGUGCUGGUGUUCAAUGCUAUCUUGUUGUCCUCUGGCUUCCAAAAGAUCAGGACAGAUACUUGCCAACUUGUGUACAUAAAGGACUCCACUCCCUUAUGCCACAAAAAAGGGUUGUGUGGCUUGGUAGUGCAUCCUUCCCUUUCUACAUUGUCUCCUUCCUACUACAUGUUGCAUUAUAAUCAGGCUGGUUGGGGAUGGUGAGCCUUUUUAGUAAUUGCACAUUUCUCAACCACCCUCAUCUUUGCUGUUCAAAAGAAAGCAUUUAGUUAUGUUCAAACAUCUCCCCCCCCCCCCCGCCCCUUGAAGUACAUUAGUACCAGAUCAGAGCCUGCUGUUGCUUGUUGUGGAGAGCACUUUUACUCCCGGGUCCCUCCCACCCAGCAUGUGGUCCCUUCCACCAUUGUGGCCGGCUGUAAGGGAGCCAGGGCUUUAGUUUGCUGCUUGAGAGAAUUGCUUCGCCUUCCUCAAGCAGCAGGAGGCUGAGCCUGAGUCUUGUGCCAGAGAGGAGCAGAAACCAGAACAUAGGUCAGUGUCUGCGAGGCAUUGUUCCUCAUCACUUCCCAGCAUUUUGAAGGUUGUGCUAUCUUUUCCCUUGGGGAACUGCUGGCAAAAGGUGAACAAAGUGGGAAGGAGGACAGUGAACUUCAAUGUAAUUCUAAAAUAACACAUGCUGUGGUGCAUAGAAUAUUAAAGUCACGUUUGCACCAGAGAUGAUGCUUUAUUGCUUCACAUCCAGCAGCAGUAUAGUAAAAUAAAUCUAUGUCUUUGAAUGGGUUAGUCUAUAUGAUCAGUGCAAACAUUAUGUAAACAUUUACUGUUUAAUUGCAUAACUUGCCUUGCUAUUUUAGUUAGGAAGAUAAUGGGGCUUUAGAAAAAACAAUAUAUCGGGUUUUAGAUAUGCAACCAAAGCAUUGGGUAGGAAUCAUGUGAUCUUCAGAUAUCAUUAGACCACAAGCACAAGCAUUUUCAGCCAUUUAUCUUGUCUAGGACUGUUGGAAGUCACAGUUCAGCAACAGCUAGAGGCACAUACAAUGCUCCCUUCUAAAAUUAAGGUAAACCUGCAAGCAUUAGAUGUCUCCCCAUCUUGCAUUUACUUCUUGAAGCAGUAUUGAUUACGGAAGUUCAAGGAAGAGAGGUUGAUCUAUGGCCGAUAUAACAGCAGAGAGGAGCCUCUGUUCAAAGAAGCUAAUUGUUACAGAAAUCUUCUUGCUUAUAGCAUCACACCAAUCUAUUUUGUAACAGCACAGUGUUUGAGCACCAAGUUGGCUGGAUAGUAAUGCUGCCCUAUGACCUCUGCUAUCAAGGAGAAUUCUGAAGUAAAGGAAUCCAUUGAGAGAAUUCCCAUAGCCAUAUGUAGGCUACAUAGUUUAAAAAUAUGACCAGUUACGUUCAUCAUUUUGCCCCAAGAUAUUUUUCUGCCUGCAGCAAAGUGCGCGCUUGCACACACACAUCCAAGUCAAAGUUCAUAAUGCCCCACAUCACUAGAAGAGACCUCAAGGGACAUCCAGUCCAAUCCUAUUCUGCCAUUCAGGAACACAUAAAAUACUCCCAACAGAUAACCAUCCAGCCUCUUCUUUAAAAUCUCCAAAGGAUGAGACUUACCGCACUUCCAGGCAACAUAGUCCACUGCAAAACAGCUCUUACUAUCAAUAAGUUCUUUCUAAUGUUUAGCUGGGAUCUCUUUUUCUGCAGUUUGAAUCCUUUGCUCAGCAUCCUAGUUUCCAGAGCAGCAGAAAACAAGCUUGCCCCCUCCUCAAUGUGACACCCUUUCAGAUAUUUAAACAUGGCCAUCGUUCCCUUAGCCCUUCCCCCCCUCCCAGUUAAACAUACCCAGCUCCCUCUGCUGCUACUCAUUGUUAAAAACCCCCGCAAGGGCAUUUCCCUCUCUCUGAAAGUAAAAUAAAUUGCCACAUGAAAAGCUAGCCAUUUGCUGAUCUUACAUGUUUGGCUGCUUGAGAUGCUACCUUUCUAGCGGUUGGGCCAUCCCAUUGUGAUAUCCAAUUGAAAAGGGUGCUGGGUGCUCUUUGAUUUUGCUCUGCUAGAUCCCUGCCCACAGUCUCUUGCCUGCAGCCAAAACCUGCCCUGAUUUGCACAGAUGUGGUUAUGUGAACUGAGAAGAUAACAUUUUCUAGAAUGAGAGUCCAUAAUUGUCAGCCACUUUGGGUCUCAUGUGGGAGAAAAGUGGAAUAUUAAAUAAGUAGAUAAAUAUGUGCCACGAGAUGGAGAUUGUUACAGAGCAAUUUUGAACAUUCAGAAAGUGUUUUACUAAUGGUGUUUAAAGAUGUUUCACUGUUUCUAAACCAAAUGUCUCACUGUAUUAAUGAAUUGCACCAAAUGCCAUGUGAUUAAUUCUGUAAAUGGUCUACAUAGCAAGCGCAGGAAACUAAAAAGAUAUUUCUUUUUAUUUAUUUAAUGCACUGACAUCCCUGCUGAUCUACCAAGGUGUCCAGCGCCGUUUGUAGAGUUGAUAUGCAAAAAAAUUACACGUGCACUAAAUUUUUUUUUUUUGUUGAAGCUAUUGGGAAGCCUGGUUGGGAACUGUUGGGACAUAUUUCCUGGCCCUCUCCUGUUUGGGAAAUAAGGGAGGCUAACUUUACCGAAGUGAUUUUCAAAAGCAAGCAACUUCCAGUCACUUCUUUCGCUCUGGGAGAGGAAGCGAAAGAAGAUGGGUCUUGUAAAUGCCACUUUUGAGGAGGCAACUGUCCUCCCACUUCCGUCUCCUUUCUGCCAGUCAUUUGAAAGCAAGGACUGGUCCUUCCACCUAUUUUUCAUUGUGACAAGUGAAUGGCAGUUCUCUCCCUGAAGCUUCUCUUCGUUGAUUAUGAAUUCAGUUGCUAUCGAGACUCAAGGAUUAAGGCAACCAGAAGCUCCCAUUUUGCAACCUGCUGUGCAAAACACCUGUACAGAGCUGGCAUUCUGCAAGAUUUGUACUGCUGCCUGCUCUACAGUGCCCCCUGGCAUGCAGACCUAGCAGGCUCUGUGUGAAGGUACUCUCUUCAUUGUCUUCCAUUCAAGGUUAAUUAAUCUGGACUAAAUGCCACUCUCCUGCUUCUAUGGUCUGAGGAGUUAUGCACGAAACAAGACUGGUUGUAUUCCUUCUCACACUUAAACCAUCUUUUCAUUAUCAGUCGGCACAGCAAGAUUUGACUCCCCCUCUCCCUUUGAAUGUAACCUUGGUAAUGGGGAUUUAAAAUGCUCUCGGUGAUUUGAAUAGAGAAAUGAAUUGUGGCCAUUAUUCUAGAUGAGGGUUAUCUGUCUCUGUUUGAUCUGGGAGUGAAAUGCAAUGGCAUAUUUUAUUAAUUGCUCUCUUAAGUGUAAGAAUGCUAUAAAAGUGUGUGGUGAAACGGGAAGGAGCCUCUUUUGUUGCUGUAUUGAUUACAGCCACAAAGGACUGGACAAAAUGCAUUCAGCACUAACUGUGAGGUACUGUAAUUGUAAAUUGAUGCACUUAUUCCUCAGAGUAGGGCUGCAUGGUUAUGCUUUAUUUUUUUGAAAGUGAAUAUUUCAAGCAGGCACUUGAACUUACUUGAAUUGACUGUAGGUUAUUUGGACAUGGUUGAUGUGGUGUGAGUGCAUUAUCAUUAGUCUCUAUUAGUUUUUUACAUUGUUAGCACCUUCUUUGUGGCAUUCAUUGUCUCCAUUUUUGGUCAGUAAAGGGAACUGGAAUAAAAGUGUAAUAAUAAAAGUCAUUUCAAGAUGUAUACACACCAU